rnacentral:rRNA from 1 species
GACGAACGCUGGCGGCGUGCUUAACACAUGCAAGUCGAACGGAAAGGCCCUGCUUUUAGGGUACUCGCGUGGCGAACGGGUGAGUAACACACGCGUGAUCUGCCCUCCUCUUCGGGAUAAACCUCUGCAACUGGGUCUAAUACCUGAUAGGUGCCAUUUUUAGUCUCAUGGUUGGAUAGUGUUUUCGGUGUUGGGUGAGGUGGCUGGCUAUCUCCUUGUUGGGGGGGUAAUGGGCUACCAAGGCGGCUGCGGGUAGCCGGCCUGAGGGGGUGGACCGCCAUAAUGGGGCCGAGGUAAGGCACAGAAAGGUAAGGGAGGGAAAAGGGGGGAAUAUUGCAGAAGGGGCGCAAGGCUGGUGAAGAGAGGCCGCGUGGGGGAAGACGGUCUUCGGGGUGUAAAACACAUUUGGAAGGGACGAAGCUUUUUGUGACGGUACCUAGAUAAGAAGCAACGGCUAACUACGUG